AUUGAACGCUGGCGGCAGGCUUAACACAUGCAAGUCGAGCGGUAACAGGAAUUAGCUUGCUAAUUUGCUGACGAGCGGCGGACGGGUGAGUAACGCGUAGGAAUCUGUCUAGUAGGUGGGGGACAACAUGUGGAAACGCAUGCUAAUACCGCAUACGCCCUACGGGGGAAAGGAGGGGAUCUUCGGACCUUUCGCUAUUAGAUGAGCCUGCGUAAGAUUAGCUAGUUGGUGGGGUAAUGGCUCACCAAGGCGACGAUCCCUAGCUGGUUUGAGAGGAUGAUCAGCCACACUGGAACUGAGACACGGUCCAG
rnacentral:rRNA from 1 species